GAUGAACGCUGGCGGCGUGCCUAAUACAUGCAAGUCGAGCGAACGGACGAGAAGCUUGCUUCUCUGAUGUUAGCGGCGGACGGGUGAGUAACACGUGGAUAACCUACCUAUAAGACUGGGAUAACUUCGGGAAACCGGAGCUAAUACUGGAUAAUAUUUUGAACCGCAUGGUUCAAAAGUGAAAGACGGUCUUGCUGUCACCUAUAGAUGGAUCCGCGCUGCAUUAGCUAGUUGGUAAGGUAACGGCUUACCAAGGCAACGAUGCAUAGCCGACCUGAGAGGGUGAUCGGCCACACUGGAACUGAGACACGGUCCAGACUCCUACGGGAGGCAGCAGUAGGGAAUCUUCCGCAAUGGGCGAAAGCCUGACGGAGCAACGCCGCGUGAGUGAUGAAGGUCUUCGGAUCGUAAAACUCUGUUAUUAGGGAAGAACAUAUGUGUAAGUAACUGUGCACAUCUUGACGGUACCUAAUCAGAAAGCCACGGCUAACUACGUG
rnacentral:rRNA from 1 species